UGAUUCUGUGAAAAUAAGGCUGUUUUUGGGCUAUGGCUCCCAUAGCCUUGCCCGUGGUUGAGUGAGUGAUGGCAGCUGCCCAGUGGAGCUGUUGUGGGGGAUAAAAUAAGGACACUUUUGUGAAGAGAGCAAAACCAAACAUGACUGUCCCGGGUGCAGACAUUAGUUUCUGUUAAUUACACACAAUUGAUCUGGUGCUAACGUUUUUCUUUGUAAUACUAGUACUCGUGAAUAAUAGUUUUGUAUUCUAAUUUAUACAUAGCCCUGAAAAUUGGGAUUUCUCAGAGGUUUGCAACCUUCCAGACUCUUGCAAUUGCUGCAUCUAAUGUAUGCUCGAAGCCUUCAUUGCUAUGUUUUAGCUCUCCUUUACUGGCAUUCCCGCCACACACUAAAUAUCCCAGUUGUGGCUGCAGCAAUAGCUGCCUGAGUUGUGGGUUAUCAGUUCAGGCAACAUAUCUUAAGAACCUCAUGAAUAUUCCUUUUGUUUUGCAUUAAAAGUUUUACCAAAACUUGACUACAGGAAGAGCGCAUAGACUUUGUGAUGAGAAUCCUGGAAGGCACCGUUAGAGAGCAGCAGAGGUCCACGGAAAAGCUUUUAAUUCAGCAGAAUAUAGACUGUGAGCUGGAACCUCGGGUGCAGCUGGGCCCUGGGCUGCGCAGCCAAGGAGAGAGGAAAGGAAUUAGUUUGCUCCCUGAUGCAGGAGCUGCUUGGGAAUUAUUCUGACCCUUGUUAUAAAUCAGGUGCUUAUCUUCUAUUUCUGCACAAGAAACAUGAAAAUCAAGAAAAGCAGAUGUACUAUCAACCUUUUAAGUUUCAUCCUGGAAAUGAGGUUGGAAUAUUCCAUAAGGAAAUCAAAGUCAUUUUCCUACCCUCUUCUGUCUCUGUAAGAAAUGCUCUGCCUAAGUCCUUCUCUGCUCUGCACUGGCAAUUCCUCUUCUGUUUCUUUAGGUGACUCCAGGCUGAGAUCAUGUUUUUAUUCUCAACUUCAUGCGAGCCUCCCUUUCUAACCCUUCCAAGAGCAUUUUAGAACCUGUUUGCCCUGAAACCCUGAAAUCAGAGAACACCGAGGGAUUAGGUUUAAACUUGUUAAACUGAAUUAACACUCCUGCCACAUGAUUCUGGCCUGUGCCAGUCCUUUUAAUCUUGUUCAGAGUUUAGGAUAAUUUGUUUAGUAGGGCUGAUCAGCUGGAGGUUAAUUCAAUUGGACUUUGGUUAUUUAUUCAUGCCCGGAUUUGCUAAGUGUCACAGCAGAUACACGAGGUCUCUGUUACAGUUAUGAGAUGGCUUCAUUAGUGUGACGGAGAGUCCAUCUGGAUCACUUCCUUUCCUCAGUGCAAUAACUGGCUGUCAGGGCUCUCUCCAGUGGAAAAAACUCCUUAUAUAACAUCUCCCUUUCAUUUGUGUCACAAGUGUAUUGAUUACAACUUAAAAUGCACUCCUCUGUUCCGAUUGCUGGGAUUGCCAAUAAACUUUCUCAGGGAUCUCAAUAGUAUUCCAGCUCUACAUUUUCCAUUGAUACCAGAACUUAAAAGAAAAGUAGAAAUGCAUUGUAAAAGCCAUUUAUUAUUAAUAAUGUGCUUUCAUGCAGCAUUUUGGUCCUUCUCACUUCAAGGUCCACUUUUCUCACAAGUGAAGUGCUACCGGUGCUGGGUUAGAAUGUGGUCAGUCUUUUGCACUGUCCAGAAUUAACUAUCCAGAAAUAGAAUACAGAAAAGAGGGAAAAAAUUGCAUCCUACUGAAACCUCUGGAGGAAUUUAAGUUGGCAGAAGGUUGUUACUCGAACUGGAAUGUGGCCAGGACACCAGGAUUAAUGUUAGCACAAAAUGCCAUUUGAUUGCAAAUGUUCAGAUAACCUUGGAUGAAAGUCUUAUCUGAAAAGAGGCUCUUCUAACAGGAAGGGCUCCCUGAUGUUGGCUGGGACUUUGGUUCAGCGUUGACUCAGAGAAUUUUUGCUCUUUGCUUCAGCAGUUUUUGAAUGGGACAGCUCUUGAAUGGUAACAGAUCUCCCCUUCACAGCCUGCAGCACAGCAGAUAAUUUCCCAGAGAGAAUUCCAUGCCAUAGACUGAUGUCUCUUUUUAGAGAUGUUUCCUGAUAUAUCAUGCAAAUAUUACAAAUAGGAGCCUGAAGGGAGGCUUGCUGGGGAAGGUCCUAAAGAUUAGAAGGAAGGAAAAAUGUUCAGUGUCGAGAAGGCACUGGGACAAGCUGAGUUUCCACAUCUUCAUAAAUGUGAAGUAGCUAUUUAUGUCGUGGAGUUACUCCUGAGUAAGUGAGACUGUCCUUUGCCUCAUUCUUGCUUUAUUCUCCUCUCUGGAUGUUUCUACUGUAGUCCUGUAAUACAUGUUAUGACUUGGGCUGGCAAAACCAGGGGAUGCCCAGCCAAAGCUUUGAUGAUUAAGAGCAGUGUUAAUCAAAAUUUCUUCUCUUUCUCUCAUUUUUUUCAAUUAAAUUGUAAAUCUGUGCUGAGGACCAACCAUUAGCUUCCAGGGAGUGAGAAAUGUUCCCACAUGCUUGGCCUUCUUCAGAAAAUCCUGUCACAGUUAAACACCGUGAAAUAUGGUUUCCAACAGAACAGUGUUCCCAAAACCAGCUGGGACCAGCCUUACAACUCAGCAUUCUUUGCAGAAGUUUAUUUCCUGUUGACUUGGAAGGCACGUUAGAGCUUUGGAGAGGAGUUUCUACUUAUCUACAUAACAGUGCAAGAUGAGUCCUGCAGCAUCAGCUCCCACAGAGAAGCUGGAGACAGCAGGACUAGAGAAAAAUGUGUCAGUACCCAUCCUUGCCAUCAGACAAGUGAGCUGCUGUGGGAUUUGACGUUUCUUGCACUGGUCCUGGGUCCUACAUGUCUGCAUGGGGAAAAGGAAAGCAUCCAGGGAGGUUUUGAGGCAGCCUGCCAUAAAUUAUGAAGGAGGCUGUACCUGCAAAAAUCCAAUACGUGUUCCCAAGAGACUUGAUUCCUGUCUGAAGGAGAAAGACCAGUGUGCAAGCUCCAUCUCUGUGGAUGCUCUCCCCAUACUACAGCUCCUUCUUCACAAUAAAGCAGGAGCUUCAUGCAAUGGGAACAACCCUUACAGGGCUGUGUGUCAGCUGCAUGUGUGGAUAAACUAUAUUUGACCAUGGGACUUGCUUUGCUAUUUGGUUUUGAGGGCAAAACCCAUCACUGUUUUUAUGUAGUGUUAAUCUGACCUAAACUGUUUUAUAAGUGGAGCUGUUUUCCAUUCUAUGGAAGCUGAAGGUUUUCCCUUGCUUUCCAUGGGAAGACACCAAUUGUCGCAUUUCCUCCAGCCCAGUCUUCCCAUUUCUUUCCUGCAGCAGCUUAGACUUGUAUAUGAGCCAAGAUAUGAUUCCCCUAAGCAUUUACAUAAUUUAAUAUUCCUUUUCCUUGUCUUCCUUAUUUUUCAUUUAUAGGUUAACCAGCACCUGAGAUGCUCAGUGCUUUCCCUCCCUAUGUCAAGUGGGAAACAAUCACUGUUUCUCCAUACUUUGAGGAAUUCUUGCCCACAUCCCCUCUGUGUACAUACAUGUAUAAAAUCAGUUACUGAAAGCAAGAGAACAAAAAUACUGUGAAAGUCCUCCAGAGAGAGGGAUGCAAAAUAUGUAUCCAAUAAAACUUUUCUGAUGAUAUCCAUAAAUACAGAACUGAAGUGCUGGCCCUGCUGUCCUCUCCAGUACCAUUCCACCAUAAAUGUGUAACUCACAUCCUGAGUCAUCCCCAAGGAGAGCAAUAGAUGUUAUACACUGGAAAUGGUUUAAUUUCUAACUGGCCCAAGCACAGUUCAUACCUCUUCCAUCAGGCGAGAGGAAGAUGAAGAAUUUUAAUAUCUUCUGGUGAGAUCAUGGGACCUCUGAGUCCCUAGGCUUAUUCAAAGCAGUCGGUGCAUUUUGCCAGUUCCAUGCAAGAAACUGCAGGUGUGGGAGAAGUUGGGCUCCCAAAUUGCACUACAAGGGCAGGAGAGUGAUGAUGCUUGCGUAGGAAGUUCAACCUUUCUAUUUGCUCUGACCGAGUGCAGGACCGUGAGAUCUCCAUUUUCAGAUCCAGGAGGCCCUUUUUUAGGCUCAUAAGUUUAUAGCAAGAUCCUCCAAUGGCUUUAUUUCCAGAGGCAGGGAUGAUGGAUUCCCACCUGGAGAAACAGGUCUGUAGGGAGAUGCAUUUGGUCCUGGCACACCAUAGCUUGCUACAUCCAUUCCCUGCUUAGUGCCAACCUGUAAGCUGAGGCAGGAAGCUCACAGGCUCUACUGCCCCCUCCAAAACAGUUGUCCCAGCAUACAGAGAGAGGUUGGCAUAAAUUUCCCUGGGGAUAAGUCACUGAUGGCUGCGAUUACAGGAGAAGAUCUUUGGAACAGAUCCAGCCUCCUCUAUAGUAGAGUUGAAGGGCAAGAAAAAUCUUUCAGACAUCCUAUGGCUGUGAGGUGGCUUUGCUUUGAAUGUAAACAAGAAAUACAUUUUCAGAGAGCUUGGAAUCCACAAGCAAAAAGGAAAAAAAAAAAAAUGAGGAAAUCAGAUGGUUGAAUUACUAACUCAUCAGAGGCCAGUAGGGACUGUGGUAAUACAAGCUAUAUUAUAUUGUCAAUUUGUAUUGUACAUUGGGAACAACAACAAUUGUGUUAUUUUGAAAUUAAGAAUAACCUGGAGGAGGAAAAUAAACUAACAGUACCACAUAGUUGAGAGGGAGAGAGAAUUUGUACUUGGCAAUAAUCAAUACUCGUGUACGUCUCCUAAUUGAGUCAGCCCAGUCUUCCUCCGGGAUGUGACAGUGACAACUCCUCUUCCUGCUUGAUGGAUUUGGUUGUGCUGCAGCUGUAAAUAGAGAGAGCACCAAAAAUGGCUUUGGUUUGUCCUCAGUGCCUGAACACCAACCCUGCUGGGUCCCAAAUAUCAAUCAGCCAGGCAGGACGGGGCAUUGGUGCUGUCUUACCUGGGUCAGUUGGAGGUCACAGCCAAGGACUUAUCACUCAUCUACCUCUCCAUGUCCCCAGCGUUCAGCUCCCUUACAAACAGGUAGAACUAGCAUCUUCUAAAGAAUCGAAUGACCAGUUCUGGUGGCUUUCUCAACAAUUUGAUCGUUUUCCUGUCUCCUAAAAUAUUUUAAAAACAUUUCUCUGCCAGAGGCACUGAGUGGGUUGAUUGAUUAGCAUGACCCAGUGCUUGGGGGUCCACAGCUGAAGUGUGUAUUGUUCCUUUCUAGUCUGAGGUCCUUGCUCGUGUGUGCAAGUUUGCAAUGGUUAUUGAAUUCACAAUGGAAAUAAUUGCAUGGACCUGGGGCCGUGCUCUGGCAUGUGGCCAAGGCAGACCACAGGCACCCUCAGGUCACAUCUCCAUGUCUUGGCAUUUCCGAACUUGUUUGACUUCCUCUGUCCCUCUGCUAUGGCUGGAGGCACAUCCAGAUAGAAUGAAAGGCUUUCCUUUUCCCUCUUCAAAUUGCUACUUGUGUUGCCAACUCAAACUCUUCACUUGGUUUGUACUGGGGGAUGAGUCAAAGCCCUGGCCUAUUCAUAUUUCACAUCAUGUGCACGUUAAUUGGUGCUUUACAUCCCAGGAACUUCCUAAGGAGGCACCGAUUUGGUCUCUUAACAAUUUUACUACAAACAUAUUUCGCCCCCUUCCUUUUCCCUCUUUGUCGUAGAUAAGAUUCAUUUUUUUUCUGGACAUGAAUCCAUUGCCUGAGGUUUCUCAAAUCUCUGCUCUGGGACACUGAAUUCUUAUCUCUGAGGCAGAGUGGGAAAGGAAAAGUAGUACAUGAGGGGAACUGUGACUCAUGCAGAAACUGAAAUGAUGAAGCAAAUGCUGCUAUUACAAAGACCCAGAGGUGUUCAAAGACCUACUGGUGGAAAGGCAAAAGCCUGGGCUUUUCAGCCUUGAAAGCUUCUGCAUAUUGAAGCUUUGAGCACUGGA